UUGGUACUGCUGCCACAACACGUUUUAGCAAGAGGAAGUGUUAUGAGACAAAAUUACUGCUUCCCCAGCAGUGCUGCAUCAUCCAAGUGAGAAAAGCACUAGUGCAGGUAAAUACUCAUCCCCCUGCAAGAAGGGCUGUCCUGAGCAGACCCUCACUCACGAUGCCUAAGCUCCUCCUCCGGCUUGAUUCUGCUCCCCCCAGGAGGCUUCAGGGGCAAGGCCUAGCAAGAGGCAAUCUCCGAACACCACGGCAUCAUGUAGCAACCACCUAUUUAACCCGGGACACGGUCUCUGAUGCAAAAGCACGUGGCAGGACGAAUACCAGGUGCAAGUUAUCCUUGUAGUGCUAAGAUCACCGGGCGGCUGCUCUUCUCGUACCACCAGACAGAAACUGCCUUCCAAAGAGAACCAGAGAUGGGCUGUAGGGCCCUGAUUCUCUAGGUCACUGAAGGGAUGACAUCAUCCAGAACGCCCAACCAGGAGAUCUACGUUUCACCUUUUGGAAAAGUGGAGGAGGAAGUCCACUCUGCCUUUGGACUACCGGGAGAUAAGGAUGGUUCCCAGAAAUCUGGUCCCCUACACAGCAGCUAUGCUUUGCAGAGGACAGGUGAAGGUCCUGUGAUUCAGGUUGGAGUCAGCAUGUAAAUUCUGACCUGAGGUAAAGCAGAUUCAAAGAAUCAAUGGAUGAGCAGUGUAUCAAAUUAAAUGUUAAUGAUAUAGCACUA